ensembl:snRNA U6 U6 spliceosomal RNA
AUGCUCGCUUUGGCAGCACAUAUACUAUAAUUGGAAUGAUACAGAGAAGAUUAGCACGGCCCCUGCACAAGGAUGACACACAAAUUCGUGAAGCAUUCCAUAUUUAA